UACGUAGGGUGCGAGCGUUGUCCGGAAUGAUUGGGCGUAAAGCGUCUGUAGGUGGCUUUUUAAGUCUGCCGUCAAAUCCCAGGGCUUAACCCUGGACAGGCGGUGGAAACUACCAAGCUGGAGUACGGUAGGGGCAGAGGGAAUUUCCGGUGGAGCGGUGAAAUGCGUAGAGAUCGGGAGGAACACCAAAGGCGAAAGCACUCUGCUGGGCCGCGACUGACACUGAGAGACGAAAGCGAGGGGAGCAAAUGGG
rnacentral:rRNA from 1 species